GACGAACCGUGCGAACGUUAUUCGGAAUCACUGGGCUUAAAGCGCGUGUAGGCGGAUGAGCACGUCUGUCGCUGAAAUCCCCCGGCUCAACCGGGGAACGGGCGCGGAUACGGCUCGUCUCGAGGGGCGUAGGGGGACCUGGAACUUCCGGUGGAGCGGUGAAAUGCGUAGAGAUCGGAAAGAACACCAACGGCGAAAGCACUCUGCUGGGCCGACACUGACACUGAGAGACGAAAGCUAGGGGAGCGAAUGGG
rnacentral:rRNA from 1 species